rnacentral:rRNA from 1 species
UGCCAGCCGCCGCGGUAAUACGGAGGGGGCAAGCGUUAUUCGGAAUUAUUGGGCGUAAAGGGCGCGUAGGUGGCCUGAAAAGUCAGUGGUGAAAUCCCUCGGCUCAACCGAGGAACUGCCUCUGAAACUGUCAGGCUCGAGGCCGGGAGAGGGUAGUGGAAUUCCCAGUGUAGCGGUGAAAUGCGUAGAUAUUGGGAAGAACACCGGUGGCGAAGGCGGCUAACUGGCUCGGUACUGACGCUGAGAUGCGAAAGCGUGUGGAGCAAACAGGAUUAGAUA